UUUGUUUAGAUCACGAGUUUAAGUCAGACGGGAGAGGAGGGAUGUCUUCCGAUGCCGAUGAUGAUUUGGGGUUUGAACUCAAAGAAGAUAUUGUAAAAAUAAAGAUCAGAUGGGAAGGGAAACGGAGAUAGAAGGUGGCACAGAAGAAUGUGAGAUGGUGAUGAACCGAUGAUUCAGAUUUGCAGAAAAAUGAAAAUUCUAAAAAUAAAAACAAACAAAAAAGAGUAAAUAAUAUAAUAUUUUUACCCUUAACCAAAAUACUUUUCUGUAUUUUAACUAAGUCCAUAAUGUAAGUAAUAAGGGCAAGAGGGUCAUUGUAAAUUAGAAAUAUGUGGGGGAAAGAUCUAAAUGUAUAUCUAUCCUAUACUAAAAGGCAGAUAUAGAGUGAUUUUAGCAUGUCCACGUAGGCAAAUAUAUUUGGCCAAUCAAAACAUUUCAUUAAAACACGUUGGAUCUCCUACAUUAAGCUAUUGAUUUUGUAUGGGCUUUGAUGUGCUUCUGCUGGGCUACAAUCUAUCGCUACAAUUAACCAAAAAAAAAGCAGCCCUAGACAGAAGUCUCUACGGCUCUACCUCUUCGUCUUCUUCGCUUGAUACCACAGCGAUUCAGCUUGAUUGAUCCACUUCUGUAUAAUCAAUACUCCACUACAUCUCGAUCAACCAAUUUCUUCUUAAUGAUUUCGUUUCGGUUUUCUCUUUUCCUCCUUCUUUAUAUACUCAUUUUCUUCCUGUGUACAAAUCAAACCCUAAAACUUCUCUAACUUCAAUCUAUGGCGAUGAAACCAAAUGGGAAAUCUCCUAUCACCUCCGAGGAUCUCAGCCGCCGCUACUCCCACCAGCUCAUCUCCGUCGUCGUUUACUGCCACUCACGCGGUGUGAGCUGAUGGGCGUGGAUAUGCUACUUAUUGAUCCAAGGCAAAAGCUCAUCCACGUCUUUAUCAAUUUUCACCGUCUUAACACCUUUAAACCAAAGCCGCAACGAAGCAGGAAACUACCGGAGCUUGGCUGAGAUCGCCAUGAAAGCAUAGAAGCAAUAUCCAGCCAACGAAUUUACUUUAUUAAUCUCAUACAAGGCUCAAAAGGAACGAAUGAAGCAAGAAAUUACAGGAACAGGCACUAAUGGCCGAGUUGGGGAGCCUGUUCAUGGUUCUAUUGGCAAGAACCGAGAUGUAACUGAAGAGAAGAGUAGCUUUGACCUUGCAGAAACCAAAUAUGGAAACACGGUUGAGAAACGCAGUUAGUAAACUUUUCAAACUUCUAAUGCCCACGGAGAAAUACACCACAGGAGUAAAGAACAUGGUGCUUGAGACUCUGUUUUCUGCAAAAAUUGAAGGCUUUGUGGAUGGAUUCAGAGGUGAAACCAAAGCGGCCAGCACGGAAAAAACGGUGGACAAGUAGUUGAGAAUCAUAAGCUGGAGAUGAAGUAAAGAGCAAUGAAAUGGCAUCUUUGGCUAGAUCGAGGGAAAAUCUGAUGCUUCGUGUAGCCUCUUAUGCUUCAUGUAGCCUCUUAUGCUUAGACGUAUGACAUGAGAUUUUCUCAUCCCACGGAUCAGUUGUGCCGGUAGCGACAAGGAGUAUCAAGUUCAAUGCAGACCAAUUAGGAGAUUAAGAAGAGUGUGUGUGGGGGAGAGAGGCUGUGCUGUGUAAGAAUAGGGAGAGGGAAUACUCAUAAGGAUGAAUUUGAGAGAAUUUUGUUGUUGUCAUUGUAGUCAUAAACGGUUAAUUUCAUUAGUUUUCCCAACA